GAGUGAACGCUGGCGGUAGGCCUAACACAUGCAAGUCGAACGGCAGCACAGUAAGAGCUUGCUCUUACGGGUGGCGAGUGGCGGACGGGUGAGGAAUACAUCGGAAUCUACUUUUUCGUGGGGGAUAACGUAGGGAAACUUACGCUAAUACCGCAUACGACCUACGGGUGAAAGCAGGGGAUCCUCGGACCUUGCGCGAUUGAAUGAGCCGAUGUCGGAUUAGCUAGUUGGCGGGGUAAAGGCCCACCAAGGCGACGAUCCGUAGCUGGUCUGAGAGGAUGAUCAGCCACACUGGAACUGAGACACGGUCCAGACUCCUACGGGAGGCAGCAGUGGGGAAUAUUGGACAAUGGGCGCAAGCCUGAUCCAGCCAUACCGCGUGGGUGAAGAAGGCCUUCGGGUUGUAAAGCCCUUUUGUUGGGAAAGAAAAGCAGCAGGUUAAUACCCCGCUGUUCUGACGGUACCCAAAGAAUAAGCACCGGCUAACUUCGUG
rnacentral:rRNA from 1 species